ensembl:lncRNA
AUGGUGAGUCACACGCGACGGAGCAACGUGCAUGUAAGUUGUUCGGAGAGAGACAGUACAGUAUGUAAAUUUCCAUCCUCGCAGCUGUUUUCGUUUGUCUCCAGCAGCGUCCCUGCUCUGAUGGAAAAUGAAGUCAGAGUAUCAGAGCCCCGGGUCAGCGGCAGAGAUUUGCUCAUUCCUCGGACAUUACUAAACUCUGGCAAGACUACUGGUGCAUUAGGAGGAGGAAGAAGAAGAAGAAGAAGAAGAAAGAACAACAGGGGGGCCUCUUUGUGCCAGAUCAGAUUUCUGAGCUCAGGAGUCUGAGUCAGAAAGGAGCGAGAUUAGUGACUCAGUGUUACUUCCUGUAAUCCAAAACGUCCUGAGAGAACCUCGACCCCACAGCACGCCGAUCCAACGCACCCCCCAGCCCGACUGGUCUGCUGCACACGGUCCGCUGGUUCUUGUCUGGUUGCACACAACGGGUGCGUUCCAGGUCAUCUUGUGAACGCCGCUGCCAGAUGGACAGUAAUUGGGCGGUAUGGCGUUGACGGAGCAGCUGGACGGCUGACUGCCCUGGAGUAACAGAGGUCAUUCUGCAGAGACUCUGUCUCACCAGUUGUUGCUUUUUCUUUGCCAAACUCCGGGGAGAUUCUGCUGGAAAUAGUAGUAUUUUCCCCAUUUUUAUUGUUUUGUUUUUAAUGCUACAUCCCCCCCCGCGCUCUAUCAGAUUGCCAUCUCCUAUCGUGUCAUUAUCAUUUUACCCUAAAUAUAAUCUUAUGUCAUCUGUAGUUUAAUGUGAUGUCGUUUUAGCUCACAUUUUUGAUCUAUGUAAAGGAAUGUAAAGGAAUCUCAUCAAAUCAAAUAUUGGAUCAACCCCUUAUCAUCUAACCUCAUCUCUGAUUUAAUGCAAUCCAAUCUCAUCUUAGAUAUAUAUACGGUAACACAGAUGUGUUGCAUCACACUAAGUGCCUUUGAAUCUUUAAUGUAAAAUAAUCUAUUUAAAUUCAACCUCACUUAACGUAAUUCCAUCUCUAUUAUUCUUAUACUAUUACACUUUACUCUAAUCUAAUCUCAUCUUCUGUCUUGUUUUUAACUGUUGUAAUCAAAUCUCAUAUUAACCCUAAACUAAUAUGCCAUUGCAUCUCUAAUAAACCAUUAUUAAACAUGUGUGCUUUGCACAUUACUCAAUCUAAUCACGUCUCCAUUGUAAUUUGAGCUAUUCUAAUCGAGUGCAAUAGAAUCACAUUUAAUGUCAUGUCAUCUCAUUUCAUUCCCUUCCAUACUCAGUGAAAUGUUAUGUAAUCACAUCAUUUAAUCUCGUAUUCCACUGUGGUGUAAUCUAACCCUAUCUCAUCCCAUCUCCUUCUUCAAUCCAAUGUAAUCCAGUCUCACUGCAUCUCAUUUAAUCCCGUCGUAUAUCUACAAUGAAAUGUAAUCUACUCUUGUUUUUUCCCACCUCUAUUCUAAGCCAAUGUCACCCGGUCUAGUCUCAUGACAUCUCAUAUUAUAAUCUGGAGGAAUCUAUCCCAUGUCAGCCACACUAUGAGCCAUAAACCAGGCCAUGAAGAUGGUUACUCCUCUGAUUAAGUUUAUUGGCAUCGUAAAUGUAUAACUUCUCUGGUAAAUGACUCAAUCUGUUCCGCCCCAUUUCGGAGGAAUUGGUCGGUCAGCGGAGUCACUGACUUGUAUCGAACAUAAUCUCGCUCGGAGCCUGGAGGGAAAAAAAGAGAGGAAGGUUUUGCUGGAAGCGGGACGGUUUUAUGGUUUGCACAAGGAAUAUUCCACGUGUGACUCAGAAAAGUCAAUAUUCCGUGUUGUUUGUCUUUGGAAGAACUGUGGAAGAGAAACAUCCUCGCCAAAGAAAUACGACGCCACAGGAAACUGUUUUUAGUUCUAUUUUUGGCCCCGAAUAGUUUCACUACUGACCAACUCGCCAUUUAUUUACCUGUUGCACUUUAUCUAAAGAUCAAAAUGACAUCAUGCGCCCAGAGACGGUGUGCGUGUGUGUGUGUGUGUGUGUGUAUUUGGUGUGUCUCUGUGUUUCCUCUUAUCGUAGCAACACAAACAGAAAUCAUCAUGGAACAAAAAUGAUACAAUAAUGAGGCAGCUUUUUAUUUUAACCUAAAAUGGUCAAUUAAAAAAAAAAGAAAAUACAACUAUUUCCUGGGAAAACCACCAGACCUUUCAGUUACAAUAAAA